rnacentral:snRNA from 1 species
AAAAUGGAGCAGCAAGGUAGUUUUCCCAGGGCGAGGUUUAUGCAUUGCACUGUGAAUGGGUUGACCUCUGCAAUUUCCCCAAAUCUGGGAAACUCGACUGCAUAAUUUAUGGUAGUGGGGGACUGCAUCCAUGCUUUCCCCUA